CAAUAGCGUAUAUUAAAGUUGUUGCAGUUAAAAAGCUCGUAGUUGGAUUUGUGGCGUACGGUGUGUUCCGGGCACUUGUUGUCUGAGUAACCUGCUGUUGCCAUCCUUGGGUGGAACCUGUGUGGCAUUAGGUUGUCGUGCAGGGGAUGCCCAUCAUUUACUGUGAAAAAAUUAGAGUGUUCAAAGCAGGCUUAUGCCGUUGAAUAUAUUAGCAUGGAAUAAUGAGAUAGGACUUUUUUGCUAUUUUGUUGGUUUGCGCAAAGAGGUAAUGAUUAAUAGGGACAGUUGGGGGUAUUCGUAUUCCAUUGUCAGAGGUGAAAUUCUUGGAUUUUUGGAAGACGAACUACUGCGAAAGCAUUUACCAAGGAUGAUUUCAUUAA
rnacentral:rRNA from 1 species